GAGAAAACUAUGCGUAUAGGAAAAUGGCAACAACCAAAAGACUUAAGGAAUGUAAGGAGAAGCCUUCAAAGUGUUCAUCCAGUGCUGCGUUGUUAUCUGUAACCUGCUACAAUCUUGAAAAUGAGGAUUCCCCAAUCCAGAGUGCUUGGGAAUAAGAGUUUCUGGAUGGCCAAGUUUACCCAGAUACCUAAAGUAAAAUAAGCAAGAAGUGGGGAGGAUGAGGACGGAGGAGGAAGGAACAGCUAAAGCAGACAUUUUUGUUUGGUGUUUCAUCAGAGACUCUCUCAGGAAUGGGGCCACCUCACAGAGUCACACACACAACCCUUCUUUCAGAGGUUGGAAUGCAGAAAACCCAGCAGCACCAGCUCUCUCUUCAGACAAGGAAGAAGAUAGAGACAAACAGGGAGAACAACAUGUAAUGGCAGAGGCAGAGAUUGCAUCGAUGCAGCCGCAAGCUAAUAAAUGCCGAAGACUGACAGCCACCACCAGGAGCAAGGAAGAGGAGAUUUGUACACCAAGAUUCUUCUGUGCUGUAGUCAAAAGUGAUGUGCCCUUGAAUGGACUCUGAAUGUCCUUCAACACAAUAGACAUGGCCAAGGAAAAUAAACCUGAAGAAAAGAAAUCCUGGAAAGACUGGA
rnacentral:lncRNA from 1 species